rnacentral:lncRNA from 1 species
UCAUUUAAAGGGAUUUCUUUUUCUUUUGUUUAUGGAUUCGAAUCCAAAAUGUCUAAUUAAAAAAGAAAAAAUCAUAAUAUUAUUGUACUAUAAUUUUUUGGUGGGGUCUUCUAUUUUCUUGUUUUUUUUUUCUUUUUUUUUUUCAUUCAUUGCAUAGUAGUUGGGAGGUGAAGAUAUAUAUUAGAAUGAUGGACAUGAUUUAUCCUACGUUUGAUUGUGUCUUUUUCACUAGAUUUUUUUUGUACUUCAAAUUAAUGCUCCUCAAAUCAAAUAAAUCUCAUUUGGGCAUGGAUAUCAUUUACAUAGAUUCUCAUUAAAACAAAAACAAAUACUAAUAACACUUAUUAUGGACGUCACUUGAUAAUUAGUAAAUCGAAUAUCGUAUCAAAUAUCAAAACUUUACACUAUUUAGAGUAAAAUAUCUAGUAUCCAUCUGAAGUAUGACCAACUUUACUACGACACAUUCCAACUUCACGGGGGUUUUAUUACCCCCUGAACUAAAUUUUAGUUUAUUUUUGUCAAUCUUUUUAGCUGACGUGACACCUUUGACGUGGAUCUCAUUUCAUGUAAUAAAGGUGCCACAUCAGCACAGGUAGACGACAAAAAUACGCUAAAAUUGAGUUCAAGAGGGUAAUAGUACCCCUGUGAAGUUGGAGUGUGGCGUAGCAACAUUAGACAUCGUUCGGGAGUUACAGGAUGCUUAUCGUCGUAGCAACUAGCAUAGUUCGGGAGCUACAAGAUGCUUAUCAUCGUAGCAACUAACAUAGUUCGAGAGUUACUGGAUGCUUAUCGUCGUAGCAACUCUUGACAUAGUUUGAGAGCUACUGGUUGCUUAUCGUCUUAGCUACUUUUGACAAUAGUUCGAGAGUUACUGAAUGCUUAUCUCUGACACUUUCACUAAUUUUGAUGAUGGUGUUAAUUUUUUUUUUUUUUUUUAUUUUUUUUUUGUGUAGGUGAUGACAAAUGGGAGGUUUAAGAGUGUAAAGCAUAGGGUAUUGGCCAAUAAUGUAAAAUCAAGAUUAUCAAUGAUUUAUUUUGGAGGACCACCAUUGAGUGAAAAGAUAGGACCUUUGCCAUCACUAUUAAUGAAAGGGGAUCAAGACAGCUUGUACAAAGAAUUUACAUGGUUUGAGUAUAAAAAAUCAGCAUAUAAAUCUAGAUUGGCUGAUAAUAGGUUGGUCCAAUUUGAGAAAGUAUAGUGUAUAGCCAACAUCAUAAUGAUUUUUUGAUAUUUUAUUUUUGUGAAAGUCCCACACUUUGUUUGUUGUUAGCAAGUAUGGGUUGUCAAAUGUAGUUCAUUGGAUCAUUUGAAUAGAUAGAAGAGUAAUGGAUUCUUUUCCACCUGAACUGUAAACGAAAUUGUUGAGACAAAUUUCAACUUAAAGGGGGUCUUAUUACCCAUCUGGACUGAUUAAAAUAGUAUUUUUAGCAAUCUUAAGUGCCUACGUGGAUCUUCAGUAUGUUGACUCACGCAGUCACACAGGCCUUAAGGUUGCCAUAAAUACGGUUUAAUUAGUCCAUGAGGGUAAUAGGGCCCCCUUUAAGUUGGAGUGUGUCUCAAAAAUUUCGUUUAUAGUUCAGGGCAGAAAUAGUGCAUUUUCUCUAGAUAGAAAAAUCUAUAUCUUUUUAGUCAUAGAUUCGAGUAGUGAAAAUAGUCGUUAAAUAUUUGUACUAGAAUAGAUUGUCUACAUCACGUUCUUUAGAGUGUGGCUUUUUUUAGACCCUGAUAACACAAGAUGCUUUGUAAUUACUUGUCUUGUUAAUAAUACAAGUUCAAAGUCAUCAUAAUGAUUUUUUGAUUUUUUUUUUUUUUUUUUUUAAAGUCCCACACUUCGUUGUUAGCAGAAAAAAUAGAGUCCACGUCAAAAAUGUCACGUUAGCUAAAAAUGUGUCACGUCAAUAAAAAAUUAACAAAAAUACGCUAAAAUUUCGUUCAAGAAGGUAAUAGGACCUUCGUAAAGUUGAAAUAAAUCGUAGCAAAUUUGAUCAUAGUUUAGGGGUACUAGUUGCUUUAUAAUAUAUAACUAUAAUUCCUAUAUAAUAUACGUAUAAUUUUAUAUAACAUACUAUCACGUAUAUUAAUUGAUGAAUAAUUUAUGUAUAUCAACUCGAAAAGUAAUCAGAAAAUCUACUGACUAUUUAUAUAAAGAUUUCUAAAUAUUUUAUUAUUUCUUUUUUUUUUUUUUAAAAAAACCUAUUUUGCAUAUUAAAAUUCAUCAUAUAAAUCUAGAAAUAUCAAAUAUCAUUAUGAUUUUUUGUGAAGUCCCACACUUUAUUGUUAGCAAGUAUGGGUUGUCAAGAUGCUUAAAUAUGGGCUUGGAACAUACUAGUUCAUUGGAUUUGAUAAAAAAAAUGUUUUUUUUUUUAUAUCCUUCUUAAUAAAUAUACACCUUAAUUUACUAUAUUUAUACAAAUUCACAUCCUUACAAAGUAAAUACAAAAAUUUCAACUAAUUAUAUAUCUUCUUUGAUUAUCGGGAGCUAAUUAUGUAUCUCGAUAGAUCAAAAAAAAAAAAAGUAUCAAAAGCUAAUUAUGUAUCUUUACAGAGGAAAAAAUAUAAUAGACCCAAAAUAAAAAAAUGUAUCGAGAACUAAUUAUGUAUCUUUACAAAGAAAAAUGUAUCUUCAUUGGAUGUAUGAGGAGUUAAUUAUGUAUCUCGACAGACCAGUGGUGGAGCCAGGAUUUUCACUAAGGGGGUUAAUAAGUGAAUAUAAAAACUAAUCUAAGGAGGUUCAACUUCUAAUAUAUAUACAUAAAAGAUAAUUUUAAUCAUGUAUAUAUAGCAUAAUUUUCCGCCGAAGGGGUUGUAGCUCCGCCACCGCGACAGACCCAAAAUCGAAUUUUUCAGUUAUUAUGCAAGAUGUCGAAAUUUCUCUGUAAUUAAGCUCCAAACUGUCGGAAUUUAUGUUGUCAAAGGGCCAAUUAUGUUCUUGAAAUCUUAGUUUUCCAAAGUAAAUUAUUACUUGUCUUGUUGAUAAUACAAGUUCAAAAUCAUUAUCCUCAUUAGUAAAUGUCAUUUAUUUUUGAAAGUGCAAAUUAUGUUCUUGAAAUCUCAAUUUUCCAUAAAAUGUACAAAUUCACUAUUUAAGUUAAUCUAAUAAAUUACAUGAUGUAUAUAUCUAUCUUUACAUACACUAAAUUAUUAGAUCAAGCUGGAUAUUAUAAACGAUUAUCAAAUAUAACAUAAAAUUUUUCCACCUCGAACUAUCAUUAUACCUCGAGAAGUAGAAAGAAUUACGAUCCCCAUUCCACUUAAAAUUUGAGAAAUUUGUUGAUAAUUAAAAUAGAUUAGUAAAUCAGAUGAUAAAUUUCUUUUGAAUAUAAAAUAUUUCUAUACGUUCUUUUCCUAUUCCUUCUAUGUCCCAAGAUUAAAACCACAAAAUAUUUAUUAUAUUUUUUUUCAAUAUUUUCUCACGUUUUAAAUAAAACCCUCUCAUAAAAAUAGAAAAGGAUAAUGGAGCCCAUAGCCCCAAUUAAAUAGUACUCAUUUAAUUGCUCAAAUUAAAAAAACAGGAAAAAAGGACAGAAACGUCACUUCAAAUUAAACUAUUUCCACGAAAAUGACCAUGAAAUUUAAAUUUUACGUUCUAGCCAUUUCAAUUAAACUAUUUUCACGAAAAUGACCAUGAAAUUUAAAUUCUACUUUUAGACAUUUCAAAUUGUUUGCUUGUUCUAUACCGUUUCUAUACAUACAUAUCUUAUACAUAUAAAUAUUUCAUACGAAAAUAAUAUAGUUUUGAUACACAAUUUAUACAAUAAUUAUACAUUAUUUUACACAUUUUAUACAAUAAUUAUAUAAUUUUUAUACACUUUCUAUAUAUUUUAUAUAUCUAUGUUAUUCAUAUACAUAUUUGAUACAUAUAUCUUAUAUAGAUACAUAUUCUAUAUAAUAAUUAUAUCAUUUUUAUCUAAUUAUAUUUAAUUAUUAUUUUUAAAUAAUUAAAAAAAAAUAUUUUUUCAUUUAAAAAAUUUAUAGCAAAAAAAAAAACUGAAUUUUUUUUAAAAGAGAGCCGAAUGACCCAAGUUGAAAACUGUAUCAGUAUUGUAUAUGGACUGUAUCAGUAUUGUAUAUGAAUUGUAUCUGAACUACGUGAACCAAAAUAACCCAAAUUAUGAAAUAGUUAUAAAGUGAAAAUAGUAUAAACGACUGACCAUUUUUUUUGAAAAAAUAUCAAACUUGGACUAUUUAUUUUUAAAAAGGCUAUAAAAUGUCCUUUUCUUAAAUAAAAAAGGAUAAUGGAGCCCAUAGGCCCAAUAAAUAUGUAAUUGGGCGUGGAAAAGACAAUGAAUAUUCUUUGGUAUUAAAGUUAGGUGAAGAAACAAAAAGGGAUAAUACCUACGAAAAUAUCUGAACUUUGAUCGAAUUUUCAGUUGAACAUACUGAACUUUGCGGGGGUCCUAUUACCCCCUAGAAUUUUUUUUUCCGUAUUUUAAUGCCAUAUAUCUGCCCACUUGGACAUGUGUAAAUAUGAGGUGGCGUGUGUAUUGCACGCGCCAAUACACGUGUAAAAACGAGUUUCGUCGAAUCUGGGCAUAGAGUUUUCGGGGGGGAUUAAAUUAAAUCCACUUUAAAAAGUCUAGGGGGUAAUAGGACCCCCCGCAAAAUUCAGUAUGCUCAACUAAAAAUUCGGUCAAAGUUCAAGUAUUUUUGUGAGUAUGAUCGAAACAAAAACAAUUUUUCUUUUUAAAAAAAGACUCUUAAAUAACACUCACUCAAUAGCACAAAUUAAAAAUAAUCUAUCAAUAGAUAAUAUACAUGUAAUACAUAUAUAAUAAGUGUUUAAUCAUAUAUAAUCACUGUAUAAUUUAUUUAUAUCAAUUAGAAAAAGUAAAUAUAGUGAUUAAUUAAUAUUCAGGGUGGAUUUAGAAAAAAGAUGGUUUCAAUCGGAGUAACCACUAGCGAUACAACAAAAAUUGAAGGUUAUAAUUUGAACUGAAUUACGUCUAAACAGUCGAUAUGUUAUAUUUGCUCAUGUUUCAGGUAAAGGUUAUAAUUUGAGCGAACAUUUUAUUAUCUUAAAAAAGAGAUAGAUUGGGUUGUUAUACGUAAAAUGAGAGGUCGUUUCACGUCUUGUACCCUAAUAAGACAAAUAUGUUCUCAUAAAAGAUUUGUCAUGUGUGGAUCUAUUAUAUUCGAUAAGUCAAUAAUAAAGAUACUACUAUAUGAGUAGAAAAUGGGAAGGUAAAAAUAUAAAGAAUGAACGUCAAGAGCAAUCCAAGAAAGAAAGACACACAACAUCUAGCUAGUAGGAGCUAGGCAAGAACCUAUAUAUAUAUAUAGAUGUUGGAUAAUUUUCACUUAAAUUUAGCAAAUUGUUGGGAUAGUAGGAGACAAGGUUUGAUACUUGACCUACCAAUUAUUAGCUAAGUUGUUAAGAUUUUUCAAAAAUAUCGCAGGGUGCGUGUCGGAUCCUUCAAAAGUGGUGCAUUUUCAAAGAAUCCGGCAUGGCGCGGCAAUAUUUUUGAAAAGUCUGAGCAACUUAGAUUGUUAGUACAUAUAGAAGGCAAAAAGGCAACCUUCAACUUCUUUAACCAACCAAUAAGUACAUAUGCUUCAACUUUUUCGGAAGCAAGAAGUAUGCCCGCGUAUUUCAAUGAGAAUGUUUAAAAAAGUUUAAAUCGGCUCCACAUAAGAUAGACAAAGUAUAGCACGCAGAGUGAAAGAUUCACUAGGCGUAAAAUUUCAUUGUAUUCGAGGUGUCAACAUCGAAGAUAUAUAUAUUAUGAGAAGAAAAUGAAAAUAACUAUGCAUCUUGGCCCAAACAACAUCCUUGGCAUAGAAAGAACAAAGCAACAAGAACACCAAGACGACGCUUUUAUUUCUAUGACUACGUCAUAGUAAGUAAAUCGGGAGGUCGUUCUGCUCUUUGUUUUCAAAGAAAAGGCAAUAUGUUCUCGUAAAUCGAGAUAGGGGAGGAGCCACCUUUCAUCCAGGGGGUUUAUCUGAACCUUUUUUGACGAAAAAUUAUACUAUUUUUACAUGGUUAAAAAAUAUUUUUUUAUGUAUAGAUAGUAGAUUUUGAACCCCUUUCGAUUUGUUCGUAUGUUUACUUCUGAACCCCUCAAUGAAAAUCUUGGCUACGCCAUUAAAUCGAGAGGUUGUUUUGCUCAAUUGAACUUAGAGUCUUAGACAAUUUCAUGAGGUAAAGCCCUAAAUCAAGAAAUACCAAAUUAGAUGAUUGAUAAUAAGAAUGAAAGGUAACCAAAGAACAAGCCAAUAAAGAAAGUGACACACAAUAUCUAGCUAGUACAAGGCAACAACCUAAAUUUAGGUGAUGUCUACCUUAAACAUAGCAUAUGUUGAGAUAGUAGGUAGAAAUUUUAGUCAAAUCCCGCUAAGGCGGGGGAAACCUCAGUGUUGAGAGUCUAGGCAACCCAUACGAUAGGGCAAACCUUAGCGAGGACGUAUGUGACCAUCAGGGGCGGAUCUUUGUAGGAGGAUGGGGUGCCACGGCACCCGCACUUCUUGGUCGAAAUCCUAUAUAUUUAUGUGUAUAUUUGUAUAUAUGUAUUAGUUAACGUAUAAUUAUUAUGCUUGGCACCCACACUACAAAGUGAGCUGACGGUGCAAGUGGUUGAGAUGACCAGCAGCGUGGUUCGAACCCAGCUUAGGACUCUUUUUUAGAUUAAUUUUUUAGCAUUAUACUUUCUGCUUUCUCAUUAAAAAAUCGAACUGACCCCUUUUAACAAAACCCUUAAUGACACCAACUAGGCAAGCCUUCAUGCUAUACCAACUUUUGUUGAUAUAUAUAAUUAUAGUUUACUCUGUGAAUAUUGACUCCACUAUCCUAAAAUAUUGUACGGAGUGUACGUUAUUAUUCAAAAUAGGGUGGCACCCGGAGCUUCCAAAUCCUGGAUCCGCCUCUGGUGACCAUCCUAUCUUAGGAUGAGAAAUUCCACAUCGACAAAAUACAGGGACGUAUGAACAGGGUUUACACUCUAAUAACGCGUUUAUAGUCGUGUCGCUCUUAACCGGACAAUAUCACUAGUGAGUUGGACCUUUACGGGAUAGUUGUUUUUGUUAUCUUGGAAUGUUUAUCCCCCUGGCUAAUUAAAUCAACCCGCACUAUACAUAUUUUAAAAGUUCAACAGUACAGAGUUUUGAUAUUAAUAAACUUAUGUGAAUCUAGAAAUUGGCAAUUGUUGGGAGGAUAUAGAUGAUUAGUACAAGUUUUUUUAAUAUAAAUGAUGGUACAUGCACUGUCAGUAAUUAAAGAAAAUUUGUAUUCAAUUGAACAUUUCUAUGGAAACCAACUCACAAUUUAAAUGGAAAAAACAAAUGCAACCGAAAAAUUUUGAUAAUGUCCUUAAUUCAAGAGAUGAAAUUCCUUAGGAUUAUGUUGUGCUAGAAAAGGCCCAUCAAGAAAUAUGUUGCAUAUUAGAGAUAAAUAUUUAGUAGUAUGAAGGAGGUGGCCACAUGUGGUUGCUUUUCUCUGUUUUUGAGACCACGGCUUGUGGUCGGUUUUGUGGUUGCACAGUGAUCACUUUUCCUGUUUUUUCUAGUAGUGUGAUGGAGAAGGAGUUGUGGAUGAUUGAUAAUAGUAGGGAGGUGGCGGUGACGGCGUAGGAGGAGACAGUGAAAUAUAGUAGUACUGUGGUGGUGGUGGUGACGGCGAAGGAAGAGGUGGUGAAUUACAGUAGUAUGGUAGUGGAGGGGGAGGCGAUGGUGGAGGUGGUGACUUGUAAUAGUAAGAAGGGUGCUCGAGUUCCUUAGGAUCGGUUGGCUUCUUGUAAUAAUCGCUUUUUGACAAUGAAGGUACCUUGUAAUACUCGUUCUUUGGCUCUGAUGGCACUUUGUAUUAGUCAUUCUUUGGUACUGAAGGCACCUUGUUGUAGUAGUCAUUCUUUGACAAAUACGGCACCUUGUACUCUUGUUUAGGCGUAGAAGGUACCUUGUAGUAGUUACCUUUCGAAAAAUGUGGGACCUUGUAGUUAUCUGAAACUGACGGUUUCUUGUAGUAGUCAUUCUCCGGCACAGAUGAUGGCACCUUGUACUCUUGUUUAGGCAUAGGAGGUACCUUGUCGUAGUUACCUUUCGGAAAAGAUGGGAACUUGUAGUAAUCAGAAACUGCUGGUUUCUUGUAGUAGUCCUUCUUUGGCAAAGACGACACCUUGUAGUUGUUAGGCAAAAAUUGUUUUUUGGAUGACACCUUGUAGUGGUCUUUAGGUACCUUUGGCACCAUGUCAUAGCUAGGUUUGGCUAACAUGUGGUACAUUGGAGUAAUGAUUUUGGGGUACCUUUGGUAUAUUAUAGGGCACUUGUGGCACAUGAUUAUUGUAGGUUGACAUAGGUGAAUAUGCCAUAGUGCAAGUGACAAUCAAGAAAAAUGCCAAAGCACAAACAAAUUGAGGCAAUUGAUACUUCAUUUGACUCCCCAUUGAGAAUAUUUGGGUUCUAAAUUUAGACUUUUUGUUUUGUUUUUUUUGUGUGUAUUUGUCAUUGGAGUAACUAGGAGUUUAUAUAGCCUAAAUUAAGAAGUGGGUGACCUUGAUGAUUUGGUACUUCAAAAUAAUUUAAACAAAUUUGAGAUUUUCCCAUUUUGGGUUUGUGUUGUUCCACUAACAUCUUGAGAUAAUGGGAGGCCAUGGACAAACACAAACUCCUAUCAGAUGUUCGAUUUAGUUGAGAUAAAAAACUAAAUCUACACUUCAUCUUAAAAAAAAUAAAAUAAAAUAAAAAUUUCCCAUGUUCGAUAUUCGUUUGGGGAUCCCAGAUUAAUCUGAAUUUACGCCGUGUACUCCUUUAUUAAGGAGAAGUGCUCCUACCAAGAUUUUUUUCAUUCUCGAUAUUCGAAUCUGAUAUGUCUGAUUAGAUGUACAUAGCUCAUUCUUAACAUUUUGGGACAUCUAGUCUAUCUUAAAUUAUAUAUCUCCAAUAAAACAAUGCACGCAUUUCCACAAAGUAUGAGGAAUGGAUGUGCAUUUUCUUAUGCAAAAUUCUACAUUAAUUUCACCGAUCCAGCUUUGAGUUUAUCACGCAACAAAUUACUUUUUUUUUUUUUUUUUGUCACAUAAAAGUCAUUCAAUUUAAUUUUUUUCACACAAUGUUUUUAUUACAUAAAAAUCAAUUAACAUUAAAGUUUAUCACACAAAAAUCACUAUUCUAUUUUUUGUCACAUAACUUGAGAUCAAGAAGGCUUAUAUUGUUAACUAGGGGCUUUUAUGUCUUGGAAUAAUUAAAGGGAAUAUAAAUAAUAAUAAAAAUUAUUAUUUUCUUGUAUGGUCAAGUUUUCAAGAUAGUGAAAAUUUAUAAUAUUUAGCUUUUUUAAUUAAACUAGUCAAAUUUUCAUUCUAUGUCAAUAAGAUUUUUUACAACAAGAAUCAAGGCAACAUAUUUUAAGAAAUGGCUAAAAUUCUAUUAGCUUAAAAGAUUCUUGAUCAAUAUAAAUAAGUACUACGAAUAGAAAAUUUUUGAGUCCUUUUAACUCCAAGGGACCUAAAACUAAACCUUCCCUCUCUAUGUUGUAUAUUAUGUUUUCAACGUGUAUUUGUAUAUCUAUUUGUAGUUUUGUAUUAAAAGAAAUAAAAUACGGAGAUUGGAGAUGAAAAAUCAAAUAAAAUACAAAUACAAAAAGUAACGUUCUUAAACUAAGUGAAAUUUAACAUGCUUAAAACAAAGAUUGGGCCAAGAUGGGCCGAUGCUAAAAACACAGAUUGGGCCAAGCAGAUAGAGAUCAAGAGCUUCUCUUUCUCUGAUUAACAACUUCGUUAUGUCCACGCAGUGCUACAAAUGGAGAUAUUAACUGUAUUUUAUUAUUUAUAAUUUGAUCCUUAUCAAAAUUCAAUGCAAUUGUUUAGCCCUGUAUUUAUAACUAUAUUUCGUAACAUAGCAUUGUGGAAUUAUGUUAAGAGUGAAAAAUCAAUGUUAUACUUUCUAACUUCUCUGUUUCACAGAGCAUUGUGGAAUUAUGUUAGAGUGAAAAAUCAAUGUUAUACUUUCUAACUUCUCUGUUUCUUUUUCCUUUGUUAAUUUUCAUGACUUAUCCUAUUUUCAGUAUCUUGUGGAAUUUUGCAGGACAAACACAAAGAAUAAGGUGAAUAUGCCAUAGUGCAAUUAGCAAUCAAGAAAAUGCCAAAGCACAAACAAAUUGAAACAAUAAUUGAUACUUCAUUUGGCUCCCUAUUGAGACUAUUUGGGUUCUAAGUUUAGAUGUUUUGUUGUUGUUGUUGUGUAGAUUUGUGAUUGAAGUAACUAGGAGUUUAGGUAGAGUUAUAGACUAAACUAAAGGUGAUCUUGAUGAUUUGGAUGUUUAAAAUAAUUUGAGAAAAUGCUCUAUUACCACCUUGAACUAUACGCGAAAAGGCUGAGACACACCCUUAGAAGGUCCUAUUACCCCUGGACUAAUUAAAACCGUAUUUUUGACAACCUUACUGCCUACGUGGCACAACACACUGAAGAGUCCAUGUAGCCACAAGUGUGUGCAACGUAUGUGCCACGUAGGCACUAAAGUUGUCAAAAAUACGAUUUUAAUUAGUCCGGGGGUAAUAGGACCCUCCUAAAGUUUGGGGAUGUCUCAGCCUUUUUGCAUAUAGUUUAAGGUGGUAAUGGAGCAUUUUCUCAACUAAUUUUGACAAAUUUGAGAUUUUCCCUUUGUUAGUUAAUGCUGUUCCACUAACAUCUUGGUAUAAAGGGAGGCCAUGAAGAAAUCACAACUUUGCUUGACUCACUUAUAUUUUUAGAAAUAGAGUUUUUUCUUUUUGACUUUUUACUCAAUGUUCGAUGUCCACUUUGAGGCUAUAGCUAAUCUAAAUUCGCAUCGCAUACGACUCAUGUUAAAGUAGAAACCUACCUAUCAUUUCCAGGACUCGAAACUUAUGGUUAUUGAUACGUUAAUUUUAUGACAUAAUACAUAAGGAUGCGAUUUAACUUGUUCCUUAUCUGGCAUCCAACUUAGGGAGUGCACAACUAGACACUUACACAUUUAUAAAGUUGAACAAGUAGACACGUGCAAUCACAUGGCAUCUACGUGGAAUCUACAUGGCAAUUUCAUGCGAAUUGCCACGUAGGACGCGUGUGGCUAGUUGUUCAAUUUUAUACAAGUUUAAGUGUCUACUUGUGCACACUCAAAGUUGAAAUAUAUAAAUUACAACUAAGAUCAAGUUAAAUGACACAUUAUUGACUCUCAAUUAGAAACUAGCUCUUAAUUGUUUACAAUUAUAAGUUUUUAAACAAAUGCAACACUCCCCCCCNNNNNNNNNNNNNNNNNNNNNNNNNNNNNNNNNNNNNNNNNNNNNNNNNNNNNNNNNNNNNNNNNNNNNNNNNNNNNNNAGAAAAAAAUGCAUCAUAUACCACAACUUAGUUUAUUCUAAUUAUUUAAAAUUUUAAUUAUUUUAAAUAAUUAUAUAAAUUCUUGAUUUUGUUUAUAAGCUCGAAUACAUCACUAAAGCAUAAGAUGUAUCUGUGUAAAAUUAAGUGAUAUAUCCGUAUGGUAUGGAUUAAAUUUGGAAUUUUUAGUAAUUUUGGAAAAAAAAAAAAUGAGAUAGGGAGUAAUUAAAUUAAAAGGAUUGAAAUUUAUGUAACGUUUGCAAACAACAAUCAACUUAUUCUCAUACAAAUAAAGGAUAUCCUUGAAAUUCAUCCGAAAAUAAUUUACCCAUAUAUUUUCUUUUUAACAGAAGCAUGCAUUGCAUGACUCGGAAUUCACGUACAAACAUGUGACAUGAAACUAGUUACCUAAUAAAUGAGUUGAUAAUGUAAAUAAUUCUUAUACCAUUAGUGCAUAUAUAUAUAUAUAUAUAUAUAUGUGUGCGCGCGCGUGUGUGCGGGGUAGGGGAUUCGGGUGCGGUGCAGCGUAACUAAAAGAGCCAUUUCAUCUAGCUAGGGUGACGAAAAAUGAGUGGGCAAGGGCGGUAUGAUGGAUGGGCCGAUUGCAUUGGUUGAGCUAGACGGGCAGGGGCGGAGCUAUGCUUAGGUUAGAGGGUUCAUCAGAACCUCCUUCAGCAGAAAAUUAUUCUAUUUAUAUGUAGUUGAAAUUAUUUUUUACGUAUAUAUAUAUAGUAGAUGUUGAUUCCCCUUUGAUUAGUUUGCAUGUCUACGUCUGAAUACCCUUACAGAAAAUCCUGGCUCUGCCGCUGUAGACGGGUUGAAAGGGGUGUAGAUUAUGAUUGUAGUGCAGAGCUAGAGAAGUGGAAGAGGAUUCAUCCUAACCCCUUUAUCAAUAAAUCACACCGCAAUAUAUAAGGUCAAUUUUUUUUCUUUCGCAUAUAUAGUACUAAAUGAUAAAUCUCUUAUAUACGCCAACAAAAAUGAUAGCUGACAAAUGUAUAUUUUUUGUAUAUCAAUGUAUAUAAUAUACAUAAAAUAUACACGUUUCAUACAUUACAAUAUACAUUAAACUAGCAAAUAUAAUUAUUUUCAGCCGACCUACCAAAUGUAUAACUCGCCCGAUGAGUGAAAAUUCUGCCUCCGUCACUGCAUAUAACGUACUACUUCAUCUGUAUAAAGGCCAAGAAGUUCAUCUAGAGGUGGCAAAUCCUUCAACAUCAACUUGUCAUCAUGACCAUCCGAUCUCCGGUGGCCGGAGAUAUUCCGUCCACGCGAUGUCAUCGGCGCCGGAGAAGUAGAAGAAUUCUUGCCAGUUAGUUUUUGAACAACAGAUUUGAAGCUGCUUGCAUCUGUUUGUAUAUAUUCUGUGUUUAUUAUGACUAUCUUUACACCUUCUCUAGUGGACAUUUUUUGGCUAAGUCAAACGUAAACGCGUUGAUCUAAUCGCCACCAGAGCCACAAAAGGACUAUUCGAUCUUUUUGAUCUUGAAUUCACCUCGAUGUUUUUUGUAUUUUUGAGUUACUUCGAGAUCAUUAGAACUUUCUAGCUAGCUAAUAUAUAUAGCUAGCAAGUUUCUUGAUUUAGGUAUUUAUAAUAAGAGGAAUAUCAUAUAUAAUAUGAAGUAACUUUCGAGGAACGUUGCAAGGGAGGUGUUGGUGUGUGUGUGUGUGUGUUUGAUUGGAGGACUAGAAGUACUUGUCAUAUAUAUUUAGGUUAUAGGUGACGUUUAGUUACGUUAGUGAAAAAAUAAUAAUAAUUCGUAUGAAUACGUCAACGAUCUGUUUCCACCCCAAAUUAUACACGAAAAUGCUAAGAUAUACUCGAACUUUCGGAGGGUCCUAUUAUCCUCCUGGACUAAUUAAAACUGUAUUUUUUGGCAACCUCAAUACCUACGUGGACCUUAAGUGUGUUGAUUUACUGAUGUGUCAUGUAUGUGCCACGGAGAUACUAAGAUUGCCAAAAAAAUAGUUUUAAUUAGUACAGGGGUAAUAGGAUCAUCCUAAAGUUCAAGUGUGUCUCAAUAAUUUCGUGUAUAGUUCAGGAUGGAAACAGAGCGCUGGAUGAGUUGAACGAAUCACAAUGGUAGAGGUCCCCUAUUUUAUUUUUUUUUGUAGGGCAAAAAUAUUUGGCAAUUUAUGAAAAAGUCUUAAAACAUUAUUUUUCUAGGAAGAUUUGACUAAAUAUGGCAGUCAAGAAGGACUGCUAUUUUAAGAAAAAGUCAUGGGGCUACGUGCAUGGUAUAUAUUUUCAUGCAUACAUAAUCACGUAUAUAUUUGUUGAUGUUACGGGUGUGUUCGAUAAAAAUACUUUUUUAGGAAUUUAAGUGGUGAUUUAUUUAUUUAUUUGUUUUGAUACGCAAGUAAAAUAAUAUUAAUCUAAAAAUAUUUGUUUAUAAUUUAGACAUAUAUAUAUUAUGAAAGAUGGCAGAGGCGGAUUCAGGCUUGUGGGUUUCCACUAACAUAAAUAAUAUACGUGUGAGGUACUUCUUCAAGUCUCUUUUGAAUCACUGAGCCAACUAACAACGUUGUUGCUGGGUUUCUCACGUAUUAUUCUUGUAUAUUUAAUAGAUUUUAUAUAUAAUUACAAGGUAUACGAAAAUGCUUGGGAGCUUCCGGGAACCCCCCUCCUGCAAUGCUAGAUCCGCUCUUGAAAGGUGGGUGUUCGGGGUAGAUUUAGGGGGUUGGUGGGGGGUUUUCGGGAACCCAGUAACUUUCAUGCAAAUCUUGUGUUUGUAUUGAAAAACCCGGUAAAUAUAUAAGAACUUUAAGUUGGAAACUCAUAAAAAUAGUGUUUUAUUCGUCUAGCGGUAGAGAAAGAUCUUGUUAAAGCUUUAUAGGACCUUUUGGUCGUGGGUUCUAACCCUGUUAGCUACUUUAUUGGAUUUUUAUUUUGCCUAAGGAACCCACAAACUUUAAAUUCUAAAUUCGUCUCUGAUGGAUGUGGGGCAGGGGUUGAGGGUUGUGGUGUCGUCUAGAUAGGAGCUUUAUUUUCCUUUUUAGUUGAUGUGGUACCUUUAUUAGAUAAAAUGGGGUUCACAUCAAAGGUAUCACGUCAGCUAAAAAAGCUAACAAAAGGUGUCACAUCAACUAAAAAAGAUGACAAAAGUACGCUAAAAUGUAGUUCUGAGGGUAAUAGGACCCCUGUGAAGUUGAUGCGAACCCAGGAUUUGAAGCGCGCGAGUGCACCAUUAUCUUGACAUAAGCGGUCAAGAAUUUUUCAAUGAAGACUGAUCUUGACAUAAGCCGUCGAGAUUCUUCCAAUGACGACUGAUCUUGACAUAAGCGGUCAAGAAUAUUCAAAUGAAGACUGAGGAAUAGUGUCGUGUCUGACUGACUGGUCGAUAGAGGCUUAAGCAAUGACGAAAAUACAAAUAUAUAAGCCAAAUAUAGGUUUUAAGGUAAUAAAUAAACUUCAGCUUUAUAGAAACAAUGCGCCCAGUGUGCACUUGUUUUUAAUUGGGGUGCACUUAAUUUAUAUAAUAGUUUCUUAAGGUAUAUACAUGUACUUAUACAGAAAUUUUUUCCACCUCCACCCUAACACGUGGAUCCGCUCCUGAAGUUGAAGUGUGUCGUAACAAAUUUGAUCAGAGUUCAAAGAGUACUAGAUGCUUUACUCUAAUUUCUAUAAGAGUCUAUUUCUACGGUUUAAACUCGUAACUUUCUGAGAGAUAAAAGAGAUCGGGGUAUUAUUUUAUUUAUUAUAUAUGCAAUUUAAAAUCAACAUCUAAUUAUCAUACAUGAAAUAACGUUCAAAUCCUGUUGUUGAAACUUGAAUAUUUACCAUAAGUUUCAUUUUAAUUUUGACUAUAAAACAUGACUAAUAAUAUUAUUAUUAAUCAAUCAAUUAAAAGGACUAAUAAUUAUUGUACUUCUAUUGACACAUUACAUUUAUUAAAGUGGACUUUGAAUUAAGACCAAAAAUUGUGGGUGUAAAUUAUACACGUCCCUUAAAAUAAUUUAGGGAAAAGGCUUAAAUAUGCCACUGAACUAUCAGAAAUGACUCAUUUAUGCCAUCAGCUAAAAGUUCGGCUCAUUCAUGCCAUCGCCGUUACAAAAUCGGUCCAUCCAUGUCAUUACUUUUUAACGGAUGAUUUUUAAAAACAGUCUUGCCACGUGGCAGCUUAUUAGAGGGCCACGUCAUUUUUUAUUAUUUUUUUUUAAAUUAAUUUUUUUUUUGAUCCAUUGAAAAUUAGUUUGAUCUAUGCUUUUAAAAUUUGAUUAAUUUUUCAUGAAUAUAUUCUUAAAACAUUCUCGUUCGAUUCGUUUUUUUGUCAUUUUUGACAUAUAAGAUUAUUUUCAUAUUUUACCUUUAAUAUUAAUUAUUUUUUUCUUCAAAUUAAUUUCAAAUACAAUAGUAAACAUCAUUUAAUAAAUAUAUUUUAAUAAAAUAGCUAUUUUAAUUGACGGGCGAGUAACUAAAAGAGAACCUCCACGCUUUUUAUCACUUUAUUUUUAUUUAUUUUUUAAAAUAUUCACGUUAACUAAAGCUUUUGUCAUUUUUCAGUUAAAAUUGAAGGGAUAUAUAAACAUCAAAUAUUAUUAUUAUAUUAUUAAUAGUUAGCUUCUCAUUUUGUCAACUCUACGUAUACGAUAUAUGUUGGCAUGUUGUCGCCUUCCUGUUUUUGCAAUGAUAAAUGAUGAUGCAUAAAGUGUUGCGUACAAAUAUUGAAUACUGAUUAGGGACGGCUCAACUCUUUAGGAGAAAAGGCGGCCGCCUAAGACCCCAAAAUUUGGGGGGCCUAUUUUUGUUUAAUAAUAAUAAAUUACAAAUUUUAAGAAAUAUAUUAAAUACUAUUUAUAGAAAAAAGAAAAAUUUUAUAUAAAAAAAAUAAAACGCAAGGCCUCCGUUUGAUUUUUGCCUUAGGUCAUAAAUUUGCUUGAGCCACCCCCGAUGUUGAUGAUGCCAUUGUAUGCUUAAUUAAAAAAAAAAAAAGGUUACUUACAUUCAGUUGACAAAAUGUUUCAUGUAUGCUAAGACAUACUAUAUGCUUAAUUAGAAUAGCAUUUGGUUAUAAAUUUUAGUAGUAGAUUUAAAAAAAAAAAAUCUUUAAAUAUUUGUUUGACCAUGAAAAAUUAAUCAAAUUUUAAAAGCAUAGAUCAAAUUAAUUUUUAAUGGAUCAAAAAAAUUAAAAAGAAAAUUAAAUUUAAAAAAAAAAAUGACGUGACCCUCUAAUAAGCUGCCACGUGACAAGGCUGUUUUUAAAAAUCGAAUGUUAAAAAGUAAUGGUAUGGAUGAGUCAGUUUUGUAAUGGCGAUGACAUAAAUGAACCCAACUUUUAACGGAUGGCAUAAAUGAGUAAUUUCUGAUAGUUCAGUGGCAGAUUUGAGCCUUUUCCCAAUAAUUUAAUUACAUAACUAUGAUAAAAAAAAAAAAUUAAUUUGAUGUAUAUACUGAAUUCGUGUAAAUUUUUACCCAAAAUAACCUUAUAUUAGAAGGUUUGAAUUUCACUGUAGCAAAAAUUAGUGUGUAAUGUGUUUGGUCCAUUAUAAAAUCAAAUUAGGUUUAUUAAAAAUAUAAUAUAAUUAAAUAUUUAAAACAUGCUCUCUUUUUUUUUUUCUUUUUUUCUUACUGUAUGACUUUUUAGACGAAAGUUUUCUCAAUUUUGAAAUUAUAGAAAUCUUUAUAUUAGAGUAAGGGAAACUUAAUACUCCCUUCAUUCAUUUUUACUUGUCAUAAAUUUUUUAAUUGUAUUUCUAUUUUUACUUAUCAUUUUUGACAUAUAAAAAAAAAACAUUUUUUCCUAUUUUACCCUGAAUAUUAAUUAUUUUUUCUCCAAAUUAAUUUCAACGCGCAAUGUAAACAUCAUUUAAUAGAGGUAUUAUGAUAAAAUAGUCAUAUAAUUAAUUAUUUUUCUCAAUAGACGUGUCAAGUCAAAUUGUGAUAAGUAAAAUCGAACAGAGGGACUAAUUUUUUACAAACCCUUAGGCUGGCCACGUAGCUAUACAUAUGUUGAAGGAUGGUCAGUUGAACAUCCUUCGAUGAAAAUUUUUUAUAAAACUUAGAAAAGCACUCAGUAAACCAAGAAGAUAGUCGAGUGCUUCAAUUAUCAAACAGAAACUUAAAGCUUUGGACAUUAAUAUAUUGUUCGAACGCUAUAUUGCUCGGACACUUCAAAAAUGUCGGUGGGUGCGUAUCGAAUUUUUCAAAAAUAGUGUAUUUUUAAAAAAUCUAAUACAAGUGCGUCAUUAAAAGUGAAGAGUUCACACAACUUAAUUCGAACCUCCACAUUAUCAAUAAUCCCAAAAUUCCGAAUCUGUCACUGAGUGGGGUAUGUUGUACUAGAAGUUAUAUACGUUGUUACCAAUAUGGGUUGUGGUGCAGCGGAUGGGGCUGCUCCACCCUUAACCAGAGGUCGAGAGUUCGACCCUGGGCAUGGAAAAAACUCUGUUGGGAGCGCUACCCCCGAAUGGGGCCUUACCCGGUACAAAUCCGAAUUAGUCGAGCUCCAAUGCGAAUACCGAACACAGGAUGGAAACAAAAACAAAAAAAAAUGUUAUGUACGUUGUUGAGUUUGUCAACUUUGUUGAUUAAUUUAAAAGUUUAUAUUUUGAACCAUUGACAAAAAGUAGUCAAUAACGUUGCGUUACAGUCAACUGUCCUUUUAAUUUAACAUAUAAUUAUUGAAAUGAUCAAGAACUUGUCAAUUUAAUUUUCAUAAAGUCAUAUUAAAGUUCGACUAAAUUUAAUAUUGCGAAAUUAUAUUGAAGUUCGACUAAAUUCAAUAUUGCCAAACUGGAGUUGCGCUAACGCCUCUAAUAAUUUCUUACAAUACUUAUUUAUAUAAACCUCCAUACAAAAUAAUUACAAAAAUUUCAACUAAUUAUGUAUCUUCGUUGGUGUAUUGAGAACUACUUAAGUAUCUCGACAGACCUAAAAUAGAAAAAAUGUAUUUUUGUAUCUUUACAUAUGAAAACAAAUGUAUUUUCAUUAUAUCUAUUAUGUGUCUCGACAAACUCAAAAUAAAAAAAAUAAUUAUUGGAGGUUAAUUAAAAAGAAUGUAUCAGAGGUUAAUUAUGUAUCUCGAUAAACCCAAAAUUGAGAUUUUCAGUAACUAUGCAAAAUAUUGAAAUUUUCUGUAAUUUAACUUCAAAGUGUCGAAAUAUGUGUUGUUUGCCCCUUAAUUAAUUAAGAGUGCAGAAAUCUCAAACACCUCACCACAAUUUAUAUUUGUGUAUAUUUUAUAAAUUUAUAAUACUAUAAAAUAACAAUAACACCGUCAAUAUAAUCUCACGAAUGAAACUUAAAGAAAAUUCACCACCAAAGGAUAUGGUGCAACGGAUGGGAUUGCCCUUCCCUUAACCAGAGGUCUCGAGUUCGAGCCCUGAAUCCCUUGGUAGACAGCACUUCCCACCGAAUAGGGCCCUACGCGGCGCGAAUCCGAAUUAGUCAGACUCCAAUGUGGGUACCAAACACCGAAUGAAAAACCAAAGAAAAAAAAAAGAAACUUAAAGAAAAUUCAAUGUACGCAGACUUCAUCUCUACUUUUUGAAUAGAAAGAUUAUUUCCAACAGACUUUUUCUUAAGAAAAGUCGCAACGUAAGCAUGAACUAAUGAUGUUUAAAUUCAUCUUCUUUUUUCUUGGUGUCUUUUCGAAAAAAAAAAAAAAAAAACUAACUUUUUUUUUCUUGUUCACACCAGAAAAAUCAAAUAGGAAAUUAUGAAUUGUUAUUUUGGUCUAACAUUUCACAUCAUACUAACUAAAAUUGGAAUAGAAGAUUGACUAAAUGGUAUGGACACUAUUUUAUGAGGUUUUGACAAAAUUAUAAAAAAAAAAAUAACGUAAACAUACGCCUUAACUUAUCAUAUUUACGCAAAUCCCCACUCUUAUAAAGUAAUUACAUAAAUCUAAACUAAUUAUGUAUAUUCGUUGGAUGUAUCGAUUGCUAAUUAUGUAUCUCGACAGACCCAAAAUCAGAAAAAAAGUAUCAAGAGAUCUUUAUAAAGCAAAAAAAAAAAAAAUACAUCUUCAUUGAAUGUAUUAUUCAUCUCAACAGACCCAAAAUCGAAAAACAUAUCUCGAGAGCUAAUUAUAUAUUUUCAAAGGAAAAAAUAUUUUUUGUUGGAUGUGUCAGAAGCUAAUAACGUAUCUCUACAGACUCAAAAUUAAAAUUUUCAGUAAUUAUACAAAAUAUCAAAAUUUUUUGUAAUUAAGUUUCAAACUGUCGAAAAUUAUGUUGUUUGCCCUUGACUAUAACCAAUGGUUGAGAGAGUGUUGAAAUAACGAUAAAAUUAUUUUCGUAUAGCCUAUAGACCAUGAUUCUAAAUAAGGCUGCGUACAACAUAAAUUCACGUGGUACAAUCCUUCCCCGGAACCUCGCACAUAGCGAUUCACAUGUUACCUGUGUUUUUUAUUUACACAGGUACCUAUAAUUUGUAAAGAAUGUCGAAAGAAUUUGUUAAUGAAGAUAUUUUGAUGGUAUUAAUUAAUUUUUAUUUUUUUUUGAAGUUCCCCAUAUCGACACUGCAGAAUGAGUUCUGGGGGUGGCGCUCCCAACAGAAUUUUAUCUAUACCCAAGUCUCAAACCCAAGACCUCUGAUUAAGGGUGGAAGGGUUGCUUAUGAUGGUUAUGGAACCGAUUCGAGUCCAGUGUUUAUGGUAUGAGAGGAUCCACAGUUACGGUUUCAAGGUUCGGAUACUUUAUACCCACAAGAGACCAAAAGGGUAUAAUAUUCGAACUUUGACGAAGACCAAAGCCUGAUAUUUAAGUGGACAAGGGUAGAAACCGGCGGCCCAUCAUUCACCAUGUCUCGAGCCAAUAGCCCUUGGGGAUUUCACCAUUAUCGAUAAUUGAUUCAAAAUGGUACGCGAUUAAUCUAUGGAACUAUAGUAAAUACAACAGCAACAACAUACCCAGUAUAUUCUCACAAAGUGGGAUCUGAGGAGAGUAAAAUGUACGUAGUCCAUACCACUACCUCAGAUGAAGUAGAGAGGCUGUUUCUGAUAGAACUAUAGUAAAUGUAGGGGCAUUACCAUGAACACACUAGCAAUAACCUGAUAUUUAAGUGGGGAAGGAUAGACGACGACAUCAUUCACCGAGUAUCAAGCCAACGGCCCUCGAGAAUUUCUCAGUUAUCGAUGAAAGAUUCAAAACGAUCCAUGAUUAAUCGAGCUAACAGUAGUAAAUGUAGGAACAUAACCAUCAACAUACUAGCAAUAGCAAUAACCUGAUAUUUAAGUGGAGAAGGAUAGACGACCAUCAUUCACCGAGUAUCAAGCCAACGACCCUCGAGAAUUUCUCAGUUAUUGAUGAAAGAUUCAAAACAAUCCAUGAUUAAUCGAGCUAACAGUAGUAAAUGUAGGGACAUAACCAUCAACCAUCAUUCAGAGAGUAUCAAGCCAGCGGCCCUUGAGAAUUUCUCAAUUAUCGAUGAAAGAUUCAGAACGAUCCAUGUUUAAUCGAGCUAACUGUAGUAAAUGUAGGGACAUUACCAUUAACACACUUAGAAAUAGCAAAGGUCAAUAGACAUGUCCAACAGCGACGAAAAAGUACUAUUGGCAAGGUAAAGUUGGAAGAAGGAAAUUACAGAAACAUAUUUGUUUUGCGUUCGAAAAGAGCUUACGCUUACGCUGUUCUCUAUCAAGACCUCAAAGUAACCGAGCAUCGACUAAUGCAUUGCAGGGCCGGAAACUCGUGUUCUCUACCAAGACCUCAAAGUAACCGAGCAUCGACUAAUGCAUUGCUGGGCCGGACACUCGUGGCCUCACCGGUGUCUUCGAAGGACUCACCCUACAACAUUAGCAAAGUUGGUAAGUUAGAAGCAAUUUACUUACAAUAUAUUGACAUUAUUACCUCUGCGGAAGGGAAGAAAGACGUUUCAAGAAUCACCUUAAACAUAAUGUUGCAAGACAGAUGAUCAAUAUAAGAACAAACUUAGGUACUUUCUUUGAUGACGUGCAGCGCUCUUGCGUUUUCUCCAAUUCAUAUAGUUGACUUUCAUAAAAUCACUCGUUAGAUGUUGAAAUACCUCUGCGAGAGAGAAGAAAGACUCUUCCCGACAAACAACAACGACACACCCAGUGUAGUCCCACAAAGUGGGAUCGGGAGAGGGUAGAGCGUACGCAGACCUUACCCCUACCUCUAUAAGCAAAUGAUCGCUAAUGAUCACUAAAGAAAGUAUAUAAACUCCAACAAUAAUCUUUUUAAAAUGUCUAACAUGUUGGUUUCACUGGUAUGUCGUCGUUGAUUUCGUUUAAAUAAGAUCCUAUCACAUUACAUUCUAAUUUCUAAUUAUUAGAAUAGAGAUAGGGAUUUAGUUGCAUAUUUUAGUCAUAACUUGAAUAUUCAAGUAAGUUGCACACAUCAUGUAUUUCGAUAAAUUACAACUUAAGGAUGCUAUACUUAAUAGUAUUUUUUUUCGAUGCAUANNNNNNNNNNNNNNNNNNNNNNNNNNNNNNNNNNNNNNNNNNNNNNNNNNNNNNNNNNNNNNCUAGAAGACAGAGAUUGCCAUAUGGUCGAUACGAUCUCAAACAGGACACCACAGGAAAACUAUAUCCAUAUGCGAAGUUGCUCGGACACUCCAGAAAAUGUUGCAGCACCCGAGUCGGAUCCUUCAAAAAUGUACUACUUUUGAAGUAUCCGUCACGCACCAGAUGACAUUUUUGAAGAGUCCGAGCAACAUAUCCUAUAUGACUUCAACACUAACAUCAAGCAUACUGCCCUGACCUAGUAUGUUGAUCGAACCCUCCAAAAAUGUUGCCGCACCUGAGGUGCACUUUGGAGGAUCCAAGACAUACCUACGAUACUUUUGAAGAGUCCGAGCAACAUAGCUAGUGAUCCAGCUAAAACAUAGGCAUUAGUUCUAGUUUUUCUUUCACACGAUUGAAAAGUGGAAAGCAUGGACCGAGAAGACGAUAAUUCUCGACAGGGAGGGAAGUAGGACAUUGCGGUUUGAUGGGAGGACUUAAAAAUAAAUAAUUCUGGUGCGCCCCUUAAACUACCAAAAAUGCCUAUCGUAAAAAGAUGCAAACAACAAGAAAAGAACAAAAAUCCGUUCACGAGCAAAGAACCUCGUGAAGCAACUCUAAAUAAGCUUUACCUGAUAGGUUGGGAGCCCAACAUCUCACCACAAAGAUCCAACGCCAAAAUUGCACUCUCAGCCUGCAGAUUUUUCAAGUAUGAGUUUGUCGGUACAUUGCUACCCACCAUACGAGAGAUCGUUUUAGUAAAUUACAUUCAAGACUCACUUCCAGUUCUUCUUUUCACCCUCUAUAUACUAACAGGACAAUUGAAAUUUUUUUUAAGAAAAAGGAAAUGCUCUCUCAAACCAAACAGUCGAUAGUGCCCCAUACGCCGAUAGGUGAAGGGCAACAAAGAAAUAACAAGUACUUUAAAAGCGCAUAGAGUUGAUGGUGACAUGACAUUAAAGAAUAGAAAGCAGGAAUUUUUUUUAAAAAAAAAAGAGAGACACAGACAGAAAAGAGACACAGAGAGGCAGAGAGAAAUCUACUUGGGUUGGACAUCAGUCUGUUCCGCUAUCGAAAGAAAACAAUCUCACAAAACUACAACGUUUCUUCAAGUGAAAUGCAUGUUCAAACACAACUUCCGUUUUCAGAUACCCUUUUUUCAACUUCAACUUAAAAUGCUACUCUUUUUAAAACUAUCAUCCAAUUCAUGUCCAAACGCCUACUAAAUAUAUAAAAGUCUGAUUUUGGAGAAGGCGGAAGUAAGAACCUGGGCUUGGCUUGCAUUGAAAGGUACAGAAGGACAAGGUGCGUGUAUAGGGAACGAAGCUUAAAAAAUGAACAACUCAGAAGAAACAACAUACCAUAACAAAUUCAACAAAACCGAUACGGGUAGAGUGCGCUUGAUCCCCCAAAAGCCUCAGACGAGAAACCUGCAAGGGAAGAAUUAUCAUUCAAUUUCACCUCUUACGUCAAGAUUCCCCAUCUUUUUGAGAGCUUUAAAACAUCACACUGACCUCCCCGCAUCUUGUCUCGAAAAAGACUUUGACGUCAGCUUGAGUUACCUGUUGAGCAUAGAGUAUAUUAAUUUCUCAAAUACGAAACUGAGCAGAAAGUACAACAACAAGCAAAAUACCAUUCAAACAGCAACUAAGGUACGAUGCCUUGAGCCAGAGAACAACAUAACAACUACAGUGUGCACAAACUCCAAAAACAUCCGAUAUAAAUAUGCCUUAAAAAAAAACAUGGGUAUUUCAGAAGAUUUCAAACAUGAAACACUGUACCAUCUUAUCAAUAUUUGUACAAUAGACUGUCCUCGCGCACAUCUCACGCUCAUUCUCUGACUGCAUAUAUAAAAACCACAUCAAUUGACAGAAAACAAUUAGUUGACCUCGAUUCCUCAAGGAUGAGAUAGAACCGUAAAACAAGUUCUUUUGGUAAUAUUCUCCACAUACAAGCAAGCAAAAUGAAACGCCAAAGAUUUUCCUACCCUUGGAAGGAAUGUAGGAUUCACGGGUAGUAUAGCGGUUUUUGAAGGUAAAACCUUGAGUUGGGAGAAACCUAAAAUUGUCCCACAAAGUCCAAGUGCGGCUUUUGCAGAAUCUGUUCAGAAUGAUUCCAAAUGACAAUAUUAGUUUCAAAUAUUCAGCAAUUUGAAGAUCUUCAAGUCAAAGUAUACUACUUACAUUCAUCAGCGAACUCAACAAAAGCAAAGCGAAGGCGGGAGUGUGGAUCACCACAAACUCGGCAGUCAACAACCUGCAAAUAAACACCGCCAAAAUGAAAAUAAGCACCACCAACGAGCUCUUUAAUGGAGAUAUGAAGACAGUUUACUUUCAGAAACAUUCUAAGUUAUUGCAAAGGGCAAAUUAACAUGACAAACAUGAAUGUAAACAUCAUGACUUCGUUCAACGUUUACCCACACAUUGCAGCCCCAACACAGAGAUAUUGAAUCCAUGCUCUUCUGCACCUAUCAAACUUCAUUAAAGACAGCUUGAAAGGACACAACAUGAGGUGCAGAAUCCAGCUUUUAAGGAAAAAAUGCUAUACCCCGAGAAACCAAGAAGUUAGGAGACAAUAAGAAUCAACACACGGAGUUUGUUCCUCGGUAGGAAACCAUAGGGGGCUUAUUUGAAAAGUGCAAUGUCUUUGUACACAUAAAUUAGCGUAAGCCUUAACAUUGAUAAGCAUGGCGGUUAGUUCCCUUUUGUCACAGGCAUCUCCACAAAAGUGAAAUGGCACAUACCUUUUCAGGUUAGAAAAUAACGUCAUGGGGCUAACAUGGGAUCCACUCGAGGAUCAACUGGUUUAGGUAAAUUGCGUAUGUAUGCCCUGACGGGGUAGGUCGUUUUUUUUAGGGACAAACUAUGUACUUCUUGAAAAAGUUCGAAGAAAUAUACUCCUCCUGUUUCAAAUUGUUCAUCUUACUUUUCCUUUUAGUCCGUUUCAAAAAGAAUGCCCCUUUCCUUUUAUGGCAAACUCUUUAAUUCCAACUUUCCACGUAGCAUGUUCAAGACCACAAGAUUAAAGAACAUUUUGAUACAUUUUACAUAUCGAUAGUUUAAGACCGCAAGAUUCAAAAGUCUUGUUUACUUUCUUAAACUCUAUGCCGAGUCAAAACCUAGACAAACAAGUUGAAACUGCGUGAGUAUAUAAAUAUAACCGUCAGGUUGCUUUUUCUUCAUGUUAUGCCUUAGAGGAGUAAUCUACUACAGUCGUUUUACAGGUAGUCACGAUAGUGCAGCUUUGUACAAAUCAACAGAAAGGGAAGAGGGAAUUACUUGUUUCUUGCUCUCUCGAAGUUAUUAAACGCAGCAUGCACAUAAGAACCCAAAUAUCUAAUACGAUGAUUCAAUCAAUGUUCGUAAGGGCAUAGAGACUUACUUGUCCAUAGGCACUAAAUAGCGCGGCAAGCUGCUCUUCCGUGAUCUAUAUAUUAAGGUAAGAGGCAAAAGAAAAGAACAAUAAGAAAAGUUAAAAACAAACGUUACACAAAAUUCAACAAUCGUCAAUCCUUACAUACAUUGACAUCAAGGUCAGAAACAUAGACUGUUCGCCUAAUGCUAUCUUCUCUUUGAGCUCUAAAAGAUCUACCGUGCAUUCUCCUUCUGCCCUGGUUAAAGUUGUUUCCUCUCUGUGAAAAGAGAAACGUGAGACAAAAAGAAAAGUAACUUCACCGCAAAAGAAAACAUGACAAAUGCAAUCGCUUUGAGAUGGCUGAUGAUGAUUCAGAUUGGCGAUUAAGGCAUUAAACAAGACCACAAGUCGAGUUACGCAACGCUGUAGUAAAUUAACAAAUAUCAAGUGGGUAAAAUAUAUAAGUGGUUUUUCCCCAGCAGCAUUGCUGCCACUGAACUAUUAUGCACUUUCUCAUUUGAAGGUAAACAAAUUUAAUGAUCUGUUCGAAACUUAGAUUCGUCGUAUAUGAAUUAACAAAUUAACCCUUAAUAUCUAAUCGACAUAUAGCAAAACCUCUGUUUAAUAUCACAAAACAACCAAUGGUUGAAAUGGCACAACUAGCACGUGUACAUUCAGAUUGAAACGACAAAUUCCACUAUAUCCACAAUAAUGAUCCAAUAUAAUGAAAUGGCACAACUAGCACGUGCAAAUUCAAAUUGAAACGACAAAUUCCACAAUAUCCAGUAUAAUGAUCUAAUGUAAUGAGAUGUAAAAACUAGCACGUGAUUCAGAUUGAAACGACAAAUCCAAGAUAUCCACUAUAAUAUCCAAUGUAAUGAAAUGGGACAACUAGCACGUGCUUAUAUGGUACUCAUCCAAUCAGACCAGCUAAGCAAACCAAAGUAAUUUGAUCUUAUUUAACUAACUUAAUGCCAAUUUUCUGUUUUGAACAAAUGGAACGCCAGAAACGCCCUACUAAUAGACCAUCGGUCGUAAACUUUUGCAACUCUAAACCUUUAUCCAUUCCACGUUUCCCGAUGGUUGCGAAACCCCGGUUUCUAAAUUGGGUUCAAACAUCAGCUCUUGAAAAAUGAUUAAUGCCAAAAUGCAUUUGGACCGUUGCAACAACUCAAAAGAGGAAACAAAUAAUUCAAAAUCCUCACAGCAUCAAUAGUUCCUCGAAAUACAUGGAAUGUCCAUAAAAUAUUUCUUACCAAAUAAAUAUGAGAAUCUCAAACAAGUACGAAAAAAACAGUGACAUUUCCCUCAAAACACAGGUAAAACCUUUGAAAAGAAUUCUUAUAUGCUAGAAACAACAUAUCACAUACUUCAAUGGAAUUCAACAGGGAUCUUUUAAAUCAUGAAAAAAGGACCUUAGCGCAGACUAUCGAAACAUCAAAAUGCAACUAUUCGAAGCAAUCAUCCAACUAACAAUUACUCGAUCAUCAAAACGACCUUAACACAAACUAAAACAAGAAAAACAUCAACUACAUCAAAAUUGCAAUUUCUCUCACUAAUCAUCCAAUGAACAAUUGUUCAGUCAUCAAAAAGACCUUAAAAAAGACUAUAGCAACAUCAAAAUUGCAAUUACUCCCACUAAUCAUCCAACUAACAAUCAUUCAGUCAUCAAAGGGACCUUAAAACAGACUAUAGCAACAUCAAAAUUGCAAUUACUCUCACUAAUCAUCCAACUAACAACUGUUCAAUCAUCAAAAAGACCUUAAAACAGACUAGAAGCAACACCAAAAUUGCAAUUACUCUCACUAAUCAUCCAACUAACAACUGUUCAAUCAUCAAAAAGACCUUAAAACAGACUAGAAGCAACACCAAAAUUGCAAUUACUCUCACUAAUCAUCCAACAAACAAUCAUUCAGUCAUCAAAAAAGACCUUAAAACAGACUAUAGCAACAACAAAAUUGCAAUUAGUCUCACUAAUCAUCCAACUAACAACUGUUCAAUCAUCAAAAAGACCUUAAAACAGACUAGAAGCAACACCAAAAUUGCAAUUACUCUCACUAAUCAUCCAACUAACAAUCAUUCAGUCAUAAAAAGAGACCUUAAAACAGACUAUAGCAACAACAAAAUUGCAAUUACUCUCACUAAUCAUCCAACUAACAAUUGUUCAGUCCUUAAAAAGUCAUCAGUAAGACCUAAACAAACUAUAGUAACAUCAAAAUUGCAAUUACUCCCACACUAAUCAUCCAACUAACUAUUCUUCACUCAUCAAAAUGACCUUAAAACAAACUCUAGCAACAUCAAAAUUGCAAUUACUCUCACUAAUCAUCAAACUAACAAUUGUCCAGUCGUCAAAAAAGACCUUAAAAACAUACUAAAACAAACAAAACAUGAUUUCAAAACAAUAAACUAAACCAUAAAUUAACAAGUACUAAAACUUUAAAGCCAUAUACCCUUCUAUUAUUUCUGAAACCACCUCCUCCCAUAGUCUUAUCAUCUGUCACAAAAUUAUAUGAAGCAGGAACAAAUUCCUUAGCCAUUGGAUUCAGUUUCAGAUUAUUAAACAUGUGAACAACAAUAUCUUGCAUUUUUCCAUUUGACACUAAAUCAGAUUCUUCUUUAACACCAUUAUCUACAACAGUAUCAGACUUCACGUUUGGCACAACAACCUCAGUAACAGCUAUUUCAUCACAACCUUUUGCAACAUCAGCCAUUGUAACCAAAAAAAACUCAAAUUCUUGAUUUCCAAUAAAUUAAAGAUCAGAUUUUUUUUUAUGAAAAAAAUCCAAUCUUUUUGCAACCCAAUAUAGAAAUAUGUAUAAUAAAAUAUGGUAAAGCUCAAAAACUCAAAUUCUUGAUUACCAAUAAACUAAAGAUCAGAUUUUCAUAAUGAAAAAUCUAAUCUUUAUACAACCCAAUAUAGAUAUAAGUAUAAUAAAAUAUGGGUGAAGCUCAAAAACUCAAAUUCUUGAUUAAAAUAAAUUGAAGAUCAGAUUUUUUUCCUGAAAAAUCCAAUCUUUUUCCAACCCAAUAUAGAAAUUUGUAUAAUAAAAUAUGGGUAAAGCUCAAAAACUCAGAUUCUUGAUUUCUAAUAAAUUAAAGAUCGGUUUUUUUUUCUGAAAAAUCCAAUCUUUUUACAACCCCACAAAGAAAAAACUCAAAUUCUUGAUUUUAAUAAAUUAAAGAUCAGAUUUUUUCUGAGAAAAAAUCCAAUCUUGAUACAAACCCAAUAUAGAAAAAUGUAAAAUAAAAUAUGGGUAUAGAUCAAAAACUCAAAUUAUAAUGUGAAUUAAUUGGUUUUAAAGCAAAAUAUGUUCAAGAAAAGAGAGCCAUUUAAGAGAAUCAAAAGAAAAUGAUGAGUGAGAAGUGGUUUUUCUUUGACAAAAUUGAUCAUAGGUUGAGUAGUGGAUUUUUGGUGAGGUGUGGUUUAUCAAGAAAACAACAUGUGGCUUUGGGCUUUGGCCUUUUGCAAAUUGCUAUAACUCUUUUGUGACAAUUGCAUAUUUGGGUACACAUAUCAAGGAAUUAUAGGAAGAAAGAUUUUUAUUUUUCUUUUCUUUUAUUAAUUAUCGUGUUCGAAUCAGCUUAUGUGCACACGCGUAGUUUCAUGAAAUGUUAUACAUAUUAGUAACAGAGUUAAUUAACGUGUUUGAGUCAACUUAUAUGCAUGUAUCUAGUUUCAUAAAAUGUUAUAACAUACUGGUAAAGUUGUUGUCAUGUGAACAAAAGAUCACGGGUUUCAGCCUUUGAAACAUCCUUUGGCAGAAAUAUAAGGUAAGGUUGCGUACAAUACACCCGGGCUUUUCCCCAAACACCGCACAUAGUGAUAAUUUUAAUGCACCGGACUGUCCUUUAGAGCCAACAUCUUAAUUGAAGGGAUUCAAAAUCGAAAAAUGUGAAUAAAAGAAUUAGUCGAAAGAGGCUUAACGUCCACUAUAUAUACAUAAAAAAUAAUUUUAAACUUGUAUAAAUAGUAUAACUUCUCGCCGAAGGAGAUUUGGAUGAACCCCCUCACUUACAGCUAGCUUCGCCACUACUAGUAAGAUAGUUAACUAACGUGUUUGAGUCAACUUGGGUGCAUACAUCUGAUUUCAUGGGAUGUUAUAACACACUAGUGACAGAGUUAAUUAACAUGUUUGAGUUACCUAACAUGUAUGUAUCUAGUUUCAUGGGAUGUUAUAACAUACUAGUAACAUAAUUAACUAACAUGUUUGAGUCAGCUUGAAUGCAUAUACUUAGUUUCAUCGGAUGUUAUAACACACUAGUAACAGAGUUAAUUAAUGUGUUCGAGUUAGCUUAUAUGCAUCUAUCUAGUUUCAUGGGAUGUUAUAACAUACUAGUAACAUAGUUAACUAACGUGUUCAAGUCAGUUUGCAUCCAUGCAUCUAGUUUCAUGGGAUGUUAUAGCACACUAGUAACAGAGUUAAUUAACGUGUUCGAGUCAGUUUAUAUGCAUGCAUCUAGUUUCAUGGAAUGUUAUAACAUAUUAGUAAUUUGUGGCGGAGUUAACAUCUUUACUAAGGGGUUCAAAAUCGAAAAAUGUGAACAAAAGAACUAGUCGAAGGAGGUUCAACGUUCACUAUAUAUGCAUAAAAAAUAAUUUUAAACUUUUAUAAAUAAUAUAAUUUUUCGCCAAAGGGGUUCAACCCCCUUACUUACAGCUAGCUUCGUCACUGCUAGUAACAUAGUUAACUAAUGUGUUUGAGUCAGCUUGGGUGCCUACACCUAGUUUCAUGGGAUGUUAUAACACACUAGUAACAGAGUUAAUUAAUAUGUUCGAGUUAGCUUAUGUGUGCAUGUAUCUAGUUUCAUGGAAUGUUAUAAUACACUAGUAACAUAGUUAACUAACGUGUUUGAAUCAGCUUAGAUGCAUACGCCUAGUUUUACGAAAUGUUAUAACACACUAGUAACGGAGUUAACUAACAUGUCCGAGUCAGCUUAUAUGCAUGUAUCUAGUUUCAUGAGAUGUCAUAACAUACUGGUAACAUAGUUAACUAACGUGUUCGAGUCAGUUUGGGUGUGUACACCUAGUUUUAUGGGAUGUUAUAAAACACUAGUAACAUAGUUAAUUAACGUAUUCGAGUUAGCUUAUAAGCAUGUAUCUAUUUUCAUGAGAUGUUAUAACAUACUAGUAAUUUUAAUGCACCGAACUAUCCUUUUAUUUACUUAUAAAAUAUCAAAAAUAAGAAAUAUUUUCCUUCCUACCAAACACCCCCUAUAACUUUAGUUAAUCUACCCAAAUUUUCCCCAAACUCACAAAAAAAUAAAAAUAAACCAUACAUCUUUUUUCUCAUUUGCUUAUGAGUUAUGACAUUUAACACAAACUUUAUCAAAAAUAAAAAAAUCCAAAAAAAUCAAAAGGCAUGAAUCCAUCCAAUUCCAUUGUUGCAUAUUAAAUUUGUCAAUUUCAUUUAUGUAUAUUUAAAUUGUGACUUGUUUUGAUCGAAUAUAUGAUAAAAUAUUUUAAUUAAAUAUUAUUAAUUUAGAUUUUUAAAAAAGCUUUUGCACGUAUUUUAAAGGACACAUUAAAUAGAUAAAUUAAUCAUUUUAAAAUAUGUCACUUCAUUUUAAUUAUAUGCAUUAGUUUUAAUCUCUAUAUAUAUAAAAGCAAAACAAAAUCAAGACAACAUGCCACGUGUCAAGCUAUUAAAAUAGCCACGUGGCAAUUUUUAAGACAAAGUUUUAAGAUAUUGUAAUAAAAAUUUUGAAUUGAAAUAUUAAUUAUUUUAAUUUGAAAUACAUUAUUCUUUUCUUUUUAAAUAAAUCAUUAUCUUAAAAUAGAAAUCCUAAUUGAAGAGUUCCAUUAGACUUUUACUAUUUGAAACUUAUCUCUUCUAAAAUAUAAAUACUAUAAAAUUUAUUUAAAUAUAAUUAACUUACAUAUUAAUAAAAGAUAAAAUUUUUAUUAAAAUAAUAAUAAUAAUAGUUAGUAAUAGUAGUACUACGUAGGAUAUGCAAUAGAAGUAAUAAUAUAGUUAGUAUAUGAAGUAGCACUAAGUAGGAUAUAAUAAUCUAUAUAUAUAAAAGCAAAACAAAAUCAAGACAACAUGCCAUGUGUCAAGCUAUUAAAAUAGCCACGUGACAAUUUUUAAGACGAAGUUUUAAAAUAUAGUAAUAAAAAAUUUGAAUUGAAAUAUUAAGUAUUUGAAUAUUAAAUACAUUAUCCUUUUCUUUUUAAAUAAAUCAUUAUCUUAAAAUAGAAAUCCUAAUUGAAGAGUUCCAUUAGACUUUUACUAUUUGAAACCUAUCUCUUCUAAAAUAUAAAUACUAAAAAAUAUAUUUAAAUAUAAUUUAUUUACAUAUUAAUAAAAGAUAAAAGUUUUAUCAAAAUAAUAAUAAUAAUAGUUUGUAAUAGUAAUACUACGUAGGAUAUGCAAUAGAAGUAAUAAUAUAGUUAGUAUAAGAAGUAGCACUAAGUAGGAUAUAAUAAUGAUGAUGAUGAUGAUGAUGAUGAUAAUGAUGAUGAUGAUGAUGAUGAUGAUGAUGAUGAUGAAGAAGAAGAAGAAGAAGAAGAAGAAUUAUAUAAAACCUGAAACAAAUUAAUUUAAAUUUUAAAAUAAAAAACGGUAAAAGAGAACAAAAAGGGUAAAACAUAUGGAAAGGUAAAAAUAAGUUGAUACUAAUAUUUAGAAUCAAUAUCAUUAAUUUAAUAAAUUUGUCCUAUAUUUAUCUACCAAUGUGCAAUUAGCACAAAAAUUAAAUUUUAAAAAAUAUAUAAUCUAAUUUAUAACUAUUUUUCUCAAAUCUACCGAAACAAAUUUAAAAUAUAUAAAAUCAGCUUAAACAAAUUUGCAUGAUUUUAGGAAUUAGGAAUAAAUAAAUAUUAAAAGAUGAAAAAAUAAUUAGUUGUACGUUUUUAAUCAAGAUCUUUAAUGUUCACAUUGUAAAUGAAUCAAAAUCCAGUUUAAUUGCCUAUUUUUGUGAAACUAUAUUUCCACAAAAUAAGCUUUGGAGAUAAUUGGAUAUAUAAUUUCAACUAAUUUAACAAUAAAGCAAGAAAGAUUUUAAUUAAUUAAAAAUAAAUUUUAAUUAAACACUUGAUUGAAGAGUUCUAAAUGGACUCUUACUACUUGAUAAAUUUAUUCAUUAUGUUGUAUAAUAUAUUUAGAUAUUACAUGAAAUACAACAACAACAACAAUAAUAAUAAGAUAUUUAUAGUAAUUUGCAUGACCCUGCGUUACUUUCAUAAACUUACAACCACACACAUGCAGGAUUGUAAAACCUAUUCAAAUAUAAAGGAUUGGUUUUACAUUUUUCAUCAUUAAUAAAUUAAUUCAAAAAUAAAAUAGUAUCCAAAUUUUAAAAAAUAAUUAGAUCUCCAACAAAAUGAAGAAUUAUAUAUUAAUUUGAGUGAUAAGGUUCAAAAGUAUAAGACACAUUAUUUGAAUUAUUUUUUAAAAAAAAAUUAUUUACUGUUGAUUUAUUAUUAAUAAAUUAAAUAAUAUCAAUAUAUAGUAUUAUGAACCAAUUUUGACAAUUGAGUUUUCACAUCUAAAAGCUAUCAUAUUUCUUCAAAUUAGUUGAAAAUAUGGGAAGUAAUUAGCUUUAUCAAAAAAUGUCUCCUCUUUUUUAGAUAAUCUUUCCUAAUAAAAUGGUACCGACUGUAGUUUUAAAGUUAAAAACGGAUACAACUUCUCAUACAAUCUUUAUCUUUAAAAAAAUUUAAAUUAUAUUUUAUUUUAUAUAUAAAUAUCCAAAUAAAUUGCCUGUAGUUCAAUUUAUUUGUUUUCUUCAAUACCCAUAUUUUUAUCUUUGUUCAUCUUUAUAAUUCAGAUAUAUCUUAUUAAUUAGUUUAAUCAAAUCAAAUAUGUGUCUUUCUAAUUAUUAUCACGUUGUUUAUUUUGAUUGCAAAUGAAUGAGACGGCUUAACCCGAGGUACGUUGCACAGGUUUGAGACCUCCUUUUCUUCAUGAUCACGACACACAACUUAUUGCUUAGAAUAAGAGAAAUUUUUUAUUUAUUAAUUUGAUUUGAGACUUAUCUGUGUGUAUCUAUUUAUUCUAAAAGAUACAUACAGAGCAAGAGUUUGUAAUUUUCCUUCGGUGAAUGACAUUCAGUAUAAAAGAAAUAGAUAUACAUCUUGUGAAUGCAUGAAAGAUGUACAGAAGCCUAUCUGAUUUUCGGAGGUAUGGAAGACUAAUUGCGGUUAAACAAUUCUAUAUUAGUUUUUUUUUUUCAAUUUAUUUGAUUUAUUUUAAUUUGAAUAUUAGUUAUUAUUUUUAUUGUUCUGAAUUUUGACUUGAUUCAUUUUAUGAGGAGAAUAAUUAUAGACCUCUGUUCACAUAUUUUGUAUUUGUUAUAUUAGCAUGCAAAAAGUUUUACCGACAUGGUGCUUUGAUUGUAACCUCUUCUCUUUUUUUCCUUUAGCUUUUUGGAAUGACAAGUCGAUAAAGAAGGUAUUGACUGAAUUAGUCUUUAAAGAUAUUAAAAAAUGUAUUAAUUGAAUUUUACUUUAUAUUUUUUUUAAGAGGAACUAUGAAUAUCACCAAUAUAUAUAUUUAUUUGCAGGUUGAGCUCAAAUCAUUAUCCGUAUUUGCAAUUAAUAUAAAAAUUUUAAUAUAAUUUGUACUAACACUUUUUUUUAUUUUAAUAUAUUUAUUUUAAGUAGAAAGAUGUCUUUCUAGAGUAUUACUACAUCAUAUUUACAUAUAUAUUCUCUUUUAGGAGGAUUAUAAAAUAAAUUUGUAAAUAUUUAGAUAUUUUAAUUAAUUUUUCUUAAUUUUAUUGUACAUCAUUUUUGCAUGUAUUGAGUGUCUUUUAUCCUAUGCUAACAGGUGAUAUUUCUAUAUUCCCUGAGUAGUUUCUUAUCAUAAAGAAAGAAAAUAAAGCAUUUAAAAGACCAAAUAAAAUAAUUUUUAAAAUAUAUGCUAAUAAGUCAUAACAAUUAAUGUGAAGACACAACCUAAAAAGGGGAAAAAAUUAAUACUGAAGCUUAGAAUAUAACAUAAUAAACACGAUGGAAUUAGGUCACCAAUUAAAUUUCUUUUCAGAGAAUAAAUUAAUAAUUUUAAUUUAAAAUUUAAAAUUCACAUUUAGGAAAUUUUCAUGCAUUAUGAAAUUCUUUUAAAUUAUUUGGUCAAGUUAAUAUUUUUUAAAAAAUUUAAAUAAAAAUAUGAAAUAGAAUAGGAGUAAAUCANNNNNNNNNNNNNNNNNNNNNNNNNNNNNNNNNNNNNNNNNNNNNNNNNNNNNNNNNNNNNNNNNNNNNNNNNNNNNNNNNNNNNNNNNNNNNNNNNNNNNNNNNNNNNNNNNNNNNNNNNNNNNNNNNNNNNNNNNNNNNNNNNNNNNNNNNNNNNNNNNNNNNNNNNNNNNNNNNNNNNNNNNNNNNNNNNNNNNNNNNNNNNNNNNNNNNNNNNNNNNNNNNNNNNNNNNNNNNNNNNNNNNNNNNNNNNNNNNNNNNNNNNNNNNNNNNNNNNNNNNNNNNNNNNNNNNNNNNNNNNNNNNNNNNNNNNNNNNNNNNNNNNNNNNNNNNNNNNNNNNNNNNNNNNNNNNNNNNNNNNNNNNNNNNNNNNNNNNNNNNNNNNNNNNNNNNNNNNNNNNNNNNNNNNNNNNNNNNNNNNNNNNNNNNNNNNNNNNNNNNNUUAACAUAUUAUAGUUGAACUUUUUUUAAGGUUAUAUGAUUUAAAAUAUCAAAUAAAAUAUCGUAAUUUUAGACAUUAAAAAUAAUAUUUUAAUAUUCAUCAAAUAGAAUUUUUUUUAUUUUAUUUUUGUAAUUUAAUUGAGAUACUAUAAUAUGAUAGUUGAAUUUCUUUUAAGAUAAUAUAAUUUAACAUGUUUGAACAAGAUAAUAUUUUAAUAAUUAUCCGCGCAUCGCGCGAAUACGUAUACUAGUAAAUAGUAAAACCUUAGGCAUGUCAUAUUUGAUGCUAAGGCAUGUUGGUUAAUUUAUUGAUAUAAUAAACGUUUGAGAACACGUGUAAAAAAAAAAAUUAAAAAUUUACAGCAAAAGUGUCAAAUAAGGAAUAAUUAAUUAUGUGUCUAGGUACUCAAUUGAAACAUAUCACAAUUUAAGUAUCCAAAUAAAAUUUUUACUAAAAUUCUUAAAAAGUUAUCAAUAUAUUCUAGCCUAAUAAAAUCUUGUUUUUCUUUCAUAUGCAAUAUAUUUAAUUAGCCAAACAUCCCUAAUUUUAUACAAGUACCCUAUAAUAUGUUAGGGAAUGCAUAUCUUAAUUAACCACAACUUCACCGAUAAUAGUAUAACAAAGUGAUAAGUAUUCUUUCAUAUUUACUAAAAAAUACGUGUUGAAGUUCAUGAAUAUGAAAUUACUUUUAGUAUAAAACGUUUUAUCCCAAUGUGAAUUCAGAUUUAAUCUGACCUAAAUAUGAUAAUAAUAAAAAAUAAAAAGAAUCAUAACCUCAUUUUUAUAAAAUUAAGGGCUUCCUAGGAAGGAUCAACUAAUCCAGAUGAAUUGUUGAAUCUCCAAAUACAACAAAUAAAAGAAGAAAAUAACAUUAAAUUAUGGGUAUUGUUGUAUAUAUCUUGAAGGUCAUAAAUUAAAUGUGCAGAUUCUCUCAUAAACAAAAAUUAUAAAUAUGAAAUGCAAUUAAAAAAAUAAUUUAUUUUGCGGCAUAAUACAUAAACAUUACCUUUAACAUGACCUCAGUUGUUAUCUAUGUCGUCCUACUUUGAGCGUGCAAAAGUAGACACUUAAACUUGUAUAAAGUUGAAUAAGUAGAUACACGCGUACCACGUAGCGUCCUACGUGGUGCCUUACGAGAAUGAUCACGUAGGAGCUACGUAGCACGCGUGUAUCUAUUUGUUAAACUUUAUACAAGUUUAAGUGCCUACUUUUGCACACUCAAAGUAUAGGGGAGUGCAAAAAUCGAACCGACCGAUAAACCGAACCGAUAAAAAUGUUAUUGGUUUAUUGUUAUUGGGGUAUUGGGUUAAUGAUAUUUUAAUGGUUUUAUAAAAAAAAUUAUUGGGUUGUUGGUUCGGUUCGAUUUUUUCUUAUUGGGUUAUUGGAUAAACCGACAACCCAAUAAGAAUAUAUAUAUAUAUAUACGACUUAUUAUAUAUUUCUCUUUAAUUUCUAUGAACUAACAAAUCUAUUAUUUCAAUUAUACAAACUUUUAAUUUUUCCUAACAACAUUUAGUUCAAACUUGAAGAUUCUUAUAAUUAAAACACAUCAUAUAGUAUUUUUGGUUGUAACUAAGAUUCGUUUUUUUUUUUUCAUGUUAGUUACUACUAUUUCUAUUUUAUGAGUAUUUUCUUAUCGGUUAAAACGAAAAUCGAACCGUUAAGGACUAAAAAUCGAUAAAUCGAAAACCGAUAAAAAAUAUCUUAUUGGUUUAGCAUAUUUAAAAAUCGAAAAUCAAUAAACCAAACCGAUAGUAUAUAAAACCGAACCGAAUUGACCGAUGUACGCCCCUAAAGUAGGAGGACAUAAAUACCCGCACUGGAGUUCGACUUAUUCAGCUUCGCGCCGCGUAGCACCCGUUCGAAAAAAAACCUCCUUACUAAGAAUUUUUUUCAUAUCCAGGGCUCGAACCCGAUAACUCUGAUUCUUUUUAACUUGUUAUAUACAUCAAUUCCAUAGCCUAACCAAGCGAAAAAUAGACUCUUUUCCCUACUCUCUAAAUUAAAUACCACUUAAUGUUGUUCUUUAAGAAUCAAUUAACUUGCAACUCUUUUUGUUACAAAGUUGGUCACUAUGACAACCAAUAGACAAUUGGACAAAAAUAUAGAGAUUUGUCAAAUUUCAAAUCUUAUACAUAUUGGAAAAAAAUUGGUUCUUUCUUUAAAAAUGUGUGUAUUUAUUUUUUUUGUUUCUCGUUUGGUGUUCGAUAACUGUUUAGGGCCCAAUUAGUGCCAGAAACUCGCACUUUGGUGUAAAACGCUCCCUACCAAAGAUGACUUCAUAUCCAGAACGCAAAUUUGUACUUUUGGAUACAAACGGUAUGGCAUUGACACGGUUAACACUAUUUUUCAAAUACAGGACCGAAGAGUGCACAGUUAACACGAUUUACAGCGUCUGGCUUGACAAUGUGAAAAGGUGUAGCAGAGAGCUAGACAAUAGAUAGAAUAUGUUUGCUCUGUUCCAGUUUAUGUGACACGGUUUUCUAGACUAAUGGAGUAUGAUGCAACUUAUAAUGGACGUCUAACAAUAGAGUUUCGGUUUUUUACGUCAUCAGGUCAUCCAAAUGAUAUCUAUAGGUAAGUCUCCUUAAGAUGUGAGACGUGAAAUCUUUAAAAUAAGAUACGUUACCUGCUACAACAUAAAUUAUUUGCAACGACAAUAAAUAUUACUUAAACUCUUAUCAUAUACCACAAAAAAAGAUAGAUUUCUUAUUAAAAGCAAUGAUCAAAGAACAUAUGCAAACUCAACAACAACAACAAUAAUAACAUAUCCAGGAUUGCCCUACAAGUGGGGUCCGGAGAGGACAGGGUGUACACAGACCUGACCCCUACGUACCU